rnacentral:lncRNA from 1 species
GUUAAGGCCAUGGGCUCUUGAUCAGGCAUAUAGUAGAAAUUUCUGCUCUGCUGUUUACAAACAAUAUGGCUUGGGGCAAGUUCCCUCUCUUAGGAGUUAACUAUAGUUUAGUAAUCUCUCAUAUGCUCAUAUACCUCUCUUGUUUGUUGUUGUGCAGCUCAUAUUAGGUUAUGGAAAUAAAAUAAUUUAACACAUUACCCUACUUAGUAGGCACUUCACAGAUGUUAGCUGUUAUUUUUCGCAAUCACCUCUGCAUUAGGGCAAAUGCUAUAUUUAUUGUACAUAUGUGUAAAUAUAUAAAUGCGUGUCAGUACAUAUUUAUUUUGUACUUAACUAUGCCAGCAGUGGAAGUAAACUGUUUAAAGCAGAUAUUCCCAAUGUAACUGACAGAUGUGAUUGCAUUUUAUUUCUCUGCAACCUUGAGAUGAGUAAAAUAUCUGAGCAAGGGACAGAUGGAGAAAAUAUAGUGCUUUGCUCUGAUAGGGAAGUGAUAAAUAGAGAGCUUCCCCACCCUGCCCCCUGCAAAUAUCCUGGUAGUAGAAAUACACUUGUUUGUUCAACAGUUUUGUUACAGUAGAUUGUGAUAUUCUGAUUUGAAAUUAGAAUCCAAACAGAUCUAAUUUAUCCUAAAAUUAUAUUAGGCUGACCUAGUUUAAAAGACUUCUGCUUUCAGCAGACAUUUUGAGUAAUUCCUAGACUAAAUGCAUGUUUUAAAUUUUUGUUUUUCAGCUAGGAUUUUUGUUCCUUUUACAAGUAAACCUAUAAAAAGAAAUCCUCUGCACUUGUCAUGGGAGUCGUUUUAUCUUUUUCAAGGGCUUCCUGGUUCCUUUGAAAGGAAACUAAACUCGUAUUUUUUCCUUCAAUUGCAGUUUCAUAAGAGGAUCCCAGAUGGGGGUUUACAAGAGCCAGUUUGGUUGAUGUCCAACCUAUCACCUGGUAUGUGUGUGUAUAUGCAUAUCUAUCUCCAAAUAUAGAAUUUUACAACAUCACUACAUUAACAAAUUAUGGUUCAAAUUAAACAUGGCUAAAUAAGCCAUGGGUCAGCAGGCAGCUUAAAAUAUUAAUCUGGAGCCAGGUAAAUGAAGAAUGAAAGCAAAAGUAAAGGGAUAGUUCAGAUAUAAUUAAGCUCCCAACUCAGCUGACUUGAGUUAAUCAAAAAAGAAGAUUCUGGCUUAAUAAGUGAAAGCCCUUAAAAGAGGGCCUGAGCUGAAGGCAGAGGAUCUGCUUGUAGUUUCAAUGCCUGAAGCCGUCAUACUGGAAAAGCCCACCUGAAUAGGAAGUGUGAUACUUCAACUCCAGAAGCUGCUAGCGGCUUUCAGGAUCUGAGUGUAGCCUCUGGUCGACAUCUAGCAAAAAUCCAGGGCGCCUAGUCAUAGCUAUAAGAAGUAAAGUCUGCCAAACACGUAAAUAAGCUUGAAUGAGGCUUCUUCCAGGCUGCAGAUGAGAGUACAGUCCAGACACGAGCAGAGGAACCAGGUAGCACUGUGCCCAGACCUGACCCGUGGACAAUGGGAGACAAUACAUGAGUGUUACUUUAACACACCUGUGCUUAGGUGGUAAUUAUGUAGCAAUAUAAAAAUGUCUAAGCUUUUCAAUUCAUUUAUGCAUGUAUGUAUAUUUUUAAGUACAAUCUAUAUGCAUGUAUUUGGAAAGGGGAAAAAUGUUGCUAUUGUCUAGUUUUCUUUUUAUUCUUCCUUCCUUCCUUCCUUCCUCCCUCCCUCCCUCCCUCCCUCCCUUCUUUCCUCCUUUUCACACCACAGGAACAGAGAAACCUUACAAAAUAAUUCUGGUGGUUUUUUAAAGCUUGUUAGGAUACCAGUUGGAUGAGGGAACCAAUAAAAAACCCCACAGAUUUGCA